GACGAACGCUGGCGGCGUGCUUAACACAUGCAAGUCGAACGGUGAAGCGCCUUCCUUUUUGGUGGGUGUGGAUGAGUGGCGAACGGGUGAGUAACACGUGAGUAACCUGCCCCCUUCUUCUGGAUAACCGCAUGAAAGUGUGGCUAAUACGGGAUAUUCUGGGUCUGUCGCAUGAUGGGUCUGGGAAAGAUAUUGUUUCGGUGGGGGAUGGGCUCGCGGCCUAUCAGCUUGUUGGUGGGGUGAUGGCCUACCAAGGCGGUGACGGGUAGCCGGCCUGAGAGGGUGGACGGUCACACUGGGACUGAGGCACGGCCCAGACUCCUACGGGAGGCAGCAGUGGGGAAUAGUGCACAAUGGGCGCAAGCCUGAUGCAGCGACGCCGCGUGAGGGAUGGAGGCCUUCGGGUUGUGAACCUCUUUCGCCAGUGAAGCAGGCCUGCCUCGUUUGUGGGUGGGUUGACGGUAGCUGGAUAAGAAGCGCCGGCUAACUACGUG
rnacentral:rRNA from 1 species